rnacentral:rRNA from 1 species
UACAGAGGGGGCGAGCGUUAUUCGGAAUUAUUGGGCGUAAAGGGCGCGUAGGCGGCCUUUCAAGUGACGGGUGAAAUCCCUCGGCUUAACCGAGGAACUGCCUGUCAGACUGGAAGGCUUGAGACCGGGAGAGGUGAGUGGAAUUCCCAGUGUAGCGGUGAAAUGCGUAGAUAUUGGGAGGAACACCAGUGGCGAAGGCGGCUCACUGGACCGGUAUUGACGCUGAGGCGCGAAAGCGUGGGGAGCGAACAGG